AACGAACGCUGGCGGCAGGCUUAACACAUGCAAGUCGAACGCAUCCUUCGGGGCGAGUGGCAGACGGGUGAGUAACGCGUGGGAACGUGCCCUUCAGUUCGGGAUAGCCCAGGGAAACUUGGGCUAAUACCGGAUACGUGCGAGAGCAGAAAGAUUUAUCGCUGAAGGAUCGGCCCGCGUCUGAUUAGCUAGUUGGUGGGGAAUGGCCCACCAAGGCGACGAUCAGUAGCUGGUCUGAGAGGAUGAUCAGCCACAUUGGGACUGAGACACGGCCCAAACUCCUACGGGAGGCAGCAGUGGGGAAUAUUGGACAAUGGGCGCAAGCCUGAUCCAGCCAUGCCGCGUGAGUGAUGAAGGCCUUAGGGUUGUAAAGCUCUUUCGUCCGGGACGAUAAUGACGGUACCGGAAGAAGAAGCCCCGGCUAACUUCGUGCCAGCCGCCGCCGUAA
rnacentral:rRNA from 1 species